rnacentral:rRNA from 1 species
UUCUGUGGCCAUACCACCCUAAACACACCUAAUCUUGUCUGAUCUUGGAAACUAAACAGGGUUGGUGCUGGUUAGUACUUGUAUGGGAGAAUAAUUCUUUUCCUCAAGGGAAAAAAAAACAAUGUGAAU